UGACCUCGGAUCAGGUAGGAGUACCCGCUGAACUUAA
rnacentral:rRNA from 3 species